UGCACCGAUUACUGUAUCCUCACUAGCAGGUUUGAGCUCCAGCAUUCUGCUUGCCCUACUUCAUACACAUUCACCGAGGGAGUAUACAACGAUUAGCAAAGCAACAUAAACAGCUGCCAGUUUGGGCCUAAAAAGACUGCCCCUUGUGGUAUAGUCGAGAUACUGCAGCGUCUACAACUGUUCCACGGAGGGCUUAUCAAUAGAUGAUAGAUCAGAGGAAAAUGAGAGGAACAAGGUCUGGAUUGAAGCACAAAGGCUGGAUAUUUUCUUAAAAUGGAGGAAUAGUUUCUAUAAAGCUUUGCUUUCCGUUCCAAGAGGUAGAAAUGGAUGGCAUGUUUAUUACAGCUGAGAAAGAAGGCCCACUGCACUGUCGAGCUAGCAGAGCAUCAUACGGGCAACGAGAUGUGUGGCAGCAAUCAAGGAGCAGGCAACGCAGAAACCAGACUCUACUCUUCUCCUAAGGCAUCAGAAGUGUGUUGAUGGCCAAGACUGCACUCCAAAUAGGUGUGCGACUCUCCUAGAGCCAACCUGCUGGAUUAGAGGCAGAGUAACGUCACGGCUUAUCCUGGCACUUGAAUUCUGCGGUGCUACAAGCAGUUGGAUGGAACCUCGAGAUGUUUCUUGGCUGGUGCAGUGGUUGCGUAUGGGUGCGCAUGUCACUGCAGGACAGCAAGCAAAGCGGCGUAGGUGCCUCUUCACACCAAGCAGAAUCAGGAGAAACAGACUCUCUCCUGGCAGAGGUGAGACCUUGUGCCAGUGGCGGGACAAAGGAUCUGCUUCAUUAGCACCGACAAAAUUGAGAAGCUCCUGCACAUGCCUAUUGCUGGAGACG